rnacentral:rRNA from 1 species
UUUUAUGGAGAGUUUGAUCCUGGCUCAGAGUGAACGCUGGCGGCGUGCCUAAUACAUGCAAGUCGAACGAUGAAGCUUCUAGCUUGCUAGAAUGCUGAUUAGUGGCGCACGGGUGAGUAACGCAUAGGUCAUGUGCCUCUUAGUUUGGGAUAGCCAUUGGAAACGAUGAUUAAUACCAGAUACUCCCUACGGGGGAAAGAUUUAUCGCUAAGAGAUCAGCCUAUGUCCUAUCAGCUUGUUGGUAAGGUAAUGGCUUACCAAGGCUAUGACGGGUAUCCGGCCUGAGAGGGUGAACGGACACACUGGAACUGAGACACGGUCCAGACUCCUACGGGAGGCAGCAGUAGGGAAUAUUGCUCAAUGGGGGAAACCCUGAAGCAGCAACGCCGCGUGGAGGAUGAAGGUUUUAGGAUUGUAAACUCCUUUUGUUAGAGAAGAUAAUGACGGUAUCUAACGAAUAAGCACCGGCUAACUCCGUGCCAGCAGCCGCGGUAAUACGGAGGGUGCAAGCGUUACUCGGAAUCACUGGGCGUAAAGAGCGCGUAGGCGGGAUAGUCAGUCAGGUGUGAAAUCCUAUGGCUUAACCAUAGAACUGCAUUUGAAACUACUAUUCUAGAGUGUGAGAGAGGUAGGUGGAAUUCUUGGUGUAGGGGUAAAAUCCGUAGAGAUCAAGAGGAAUACUCAUUGCGAAGGCGACCUGCUGGAACAUUACUGACGCUGAUUGCGCGAAAGCGUGGGGAGCAAACAGGAUUAGAUACCCUGGUAGUCCACGCCCUAAACGAUGGAUGCUAGUUGUUGGAGGGCUUAGUCUCUCCAGUAAUGCAGCUAACGCAUUAAGCAUCCCGCCUGGGGAGUACGGUCGCAAGAUUAAAACUCAAAGGAAUAGACGGGGACCCGCACAAGCGGUGGAGCAUGUGGUUUAAUUCGAGGAUACACGAAGAACCUUACCUAGGCUUGACAUUGAGAGAAUCCGCCAGAAAUAGUGGAGUGUCUGGCUUGCCAGACCUUGAAAACAGGUGCUGCACGGCUGUCGUCAGCUCGUGUCGUGAGAUGUUGGGUUAAGUCCCGCAACGAGCGCAACCCCCUUUCUUAGUUGCUAACAGGUUAUGCUGAGAACUCUAAGGAUACUGCCUCCGUAAGGAGGAGGAAGGUGGGGACGACGUCAAGUCAUCAUGGCCCUUACGCCUAGGGCUACACACGUGCUACAAUGGGGUGCACAAAGAGAAGCAAUACUGCGAAGUGGAGCCAAUCUUCAAAACACCUCUCAGUUCGGAUUGUAGGCUGCAACUCGCCUGCAUGAAGCUGGAAUCGCUAGUAAUCGCAAAUCAGCCAUGUUGCGGUGAAUACGUUCCCGGGUCUUGUACUCACCGCCCGUCACACCAUGGGAGUUGUGUUUGCCUUAAGUCAGGAUGCUAAAUUGGCUACUGCCCACGGCACACACAGCGACUGGGGUGAAGUCGUAACAAGGUAACCGUAGGUGAACCUGCGGUUGGAUCACCUCCUUUCUA